rnacentral:rRNA from 1 species
AGAGUUUGAUCCUGGCUCAGAGUGAACGCUGGCGGCAGGCCUAACACAUGCAAGUCGAGCGGCAGCGCGUCCGACCACCCUCGGGUGGUCGGAUGGCGGCGAGCGGCGGACGGGUGAGGAAUGCAUCGGAAUCUGCCUCGUUGUGGGGGAUAACGUAGGGAAACUUACGCUAAUACCGCAUACGACCUACGGGUGAAAGUGGGGGACCUUCGGGCCUCACGCGAUGAGAUGAGCCGAUGCCGGAUUAGCUAGUUGGCGGGGUAAAGGCCCACCAAGGCGACGAUCCGUAGCUGGUCUGAGAGGAUGAUCAGCCACACUGGAACUGAGACACGGUCCAGACUCCUACGGGAGGCAGCAGUGGGGAAUAUUGGACAAUGGGGGCAACCCUGAUCCAGCCAUGCCGCGUGUGUGAAGAAGGCCUUCGGGUUGUAAAGCACUUUUGUUGGGGAAGAAACCGGCCGGGUUAAUACCCUGGUUGAAUGACGGUACCCAAAGAAUAAGCACCGGCUAACUUCGUGCCAGCAGCCGCGGUAAUACGAAGGGUGCAAGCGUUACUCGGAAUUACUGGGCGUAAAGCGUGCGUAGGCGGUUUGUUAAGUCUGCUGUGAAAGCCCUGGGCUCAACCUGGGAACUGCAGUGGAUACUGGCGAGCUAGAGUGUGUCAGAGGAUGGUGGAAUUCCCGGUGUAGCGGUGAAAUGCGUAGAGAUCGGGAGGAACACCAGUGGCGAAGGCGGCCAUCUGGGACAACACUGACGCUGAGGCACGAAAGCGUGGGGAGCAAACAGGAUUAGAUACCCCGGUAGU